GUAUGCUUCAACUUUGGGCUAAAUAUACAUUUGUCUGAUAGACCGUAACAGCCACCAAGUCUGUUGUGCUAAGCAAUCCUUAGCUGUAUAUUUACCAGAUCAAUGAAGUGCUUACAGCUUGGACACAUGAAUCGGUGUUUAGUGAACAUCUCCAGAUGCUGCUUCUUCUGACUUGCAAUUCCAGACACCUCCAAGAGGAAAGCUUUAAAAAGCGCUGAAAAAUGAAGGGAUCUACCGUGAUAACGCAGAGAACAUUCGUAAUAAUAGCAAGCACUUUGAUGAGGACCCUGAGAAAUCCUACAGCUUCUGUGUAUGGAAAGGAAGUGAAAAAAUGGAAGAGCAGUCACCCUUGUGAAUACACCAGUUGAAGUAACUGCAUGACUACAGCACACAUGAAUAUAGAGAAAAUUGAGCAUCAUGAUGAAGAAAUAAUACACGUUGAGUGUUAUGUUUAUAAAAGGGAUGAGUGCCCUCCAAAGAGACCUGCUAGA